UGGGGAAUAUUGGACAAUGGGCGAAAGCCUGAUCCAGCCAUGCCGCGUGUGUGAAGAAGGUCUUCGGAUUGUAAAGCACUUUAAGUUGGGAGGAAGGGCAGUAAAUUAAUACUUUGCUGUUUUGACGUUACCGACAGAAUAAGCACCGGCUAACUCUGUGCCAGCAGCCGCGGUAAUACAGAGGGUGCAAGCGUUAAUCGGAAUUACUGGGCGUAAAGCGCGCGUAGGUGGUUCGUUAAGUUGGAUGUGAAAUCCCCGGGCUCAACCUGGGAACUGCAUUCAAAACUGACGAGCUAGAGUAUGGUAGAGGGUGGUGGAAUUUCCUGUGUAGCGGUGAAAUGCGUAGAUAUAGGAAGGAACACCAGUGGCGAAGGCGACCACCUGGACUGAUACUGACACUGAGGUGCGAAAGCGUGGGGGAGCAAAACAGGAUUAGAUACCCUGGUA
rnacentral:rRNA from 1 species